GAUGAACGCUGGCGGCGUGUCUAAUACAGGCAAGUCGAGCGAACAGAGGAGUAGCUUUCUCCUCUUACGUUAGCGGCGGACGUGUGAGUAACACGUUGAUAACCUACCUAUAAGACUGGGAUAACUUCGGGAAACCGGAGCUAAUACCGGAUAAUAUAUUGAACCGCAUGGUUCAAUAGUGAAAGCCGUUUUUGCUGUCACUUAUAGAUGUAUCCGCGCCGCAUUAGCUAGUUGGUAAGGUAACGGCUUACCAAGGCGACGAUGCGUAACCGACCUGAGAGGGUGAUCGGCCACAGUGGAACUGAGACACGGUCCAGACUCCUACGGGAGGCAGCAGUAGGGAAUCUUCCGCAAAGGGCGAAAGCCUGACGGAGCAACGCCGCGUGAGUGAUGAAGGGCUUCGGAUCGUAAAACUCUGUUAUUAGGGAAGAACAAAUGUGUAAGUAACUAUGCACGUCUUGACGGUACCCAAUCAGAAAGCCACGGCUAACUUCGUG
rnacentral:rRNA from 1 species